UGGGGAGUGCACACUGAUUCACACAGUGGCCAGGAAAGCAGGUCCCAAGAUGUUCUUCAUUUCAGAACCGGCUCUCCAAAGAAAACACUGGGAGUGUGAGACAAUGCACGUGCUCUCAUACCCAUCACAAGAGUAGGAUUGGAAGAACAAGCUCCUCUGAAACCAGGAGCCUGUCAGAUGAAACAGAAGAUGGUUCAAAGUGGAACAAGAAGGACCAGUUUUAUGCACUUCGUAUGUUAAAUAAGAAAAGAUGAAACGAACAACAGAAGCAAAAAAGGAUUGCCAGACUCCUGUUCCUUCAGUGUGCAAAGCCAGCUCUGAGGUUGCUGCUGCCCAUCCCCUGCCAGCAGGGACAUUGUACAGCGCCUUUCCACUGCGUCAGUGAGGAAUUUGCAUUCAGGAGAAACAGGUGUAUCUUUCACUGGUUAAACUUUGCAGAAGUUAUGGACAUAAUUCAUGGUGAGAACACAGCUGACAAAAACAGCACAUGGAGCCAAGUGAAGAAAUAUGAUUUUCACCAUAGUAAUAAUUUCUAGGUGUUCUGGUAAACAUCUGGAAAGCUGUAGUUGGGAUGUAAAGAUUUUGCCUGUAUUUUUUAAAGUCACGCUUCUUUGAAUAUUUUGCCAAUUCUGCACAUUUUGCUAUUGAUCUAUAUGGACCAGUGGACUUGAAACAGACUUUUCCAUUGAGCUGCAUUCCCAGAACAACACCAAUACCAUUCAGGCGGGUUUGUGUCCAAAGGCUGGGCUCCUCUCCCUGCCCUCAG